GUGGAACUCACUCUGCAUCUCAAGAAAUGCCUUACAUGCUUGGCUGAAAGGCUUGAGACAUUACAGCAACGAUGUGAGUCUUUGAAAUCCUGAAGCAGACAAUCAAAGAAGGUGGACACAUUGCACCAAGCUGGGAUUUGCUGAACUCUGAUCUGAAUAAACCAGAAUUCCUGGUUCAUACAAUACACCGAGCAAAAGCCAGGGUUCGUGUGGGAGAACGUUUGGGAUAGCUCUGCUAUAAAGUUCUACAAUACCAAAGAUAAUACCAACUGAAAUCAGGAAAAAGGAAAGAAAGGAAAGAAAAAUGCCAAGCACAGAAGAAGAAGAAGGAGAAGGAGAAGGAGGAGGAGGAGGAGGAGGAGG